rnacentral:rRNA from 1 species
GACGAACGCUGGCGGCGUGCUUAACACAUGCAAGUCGAACGGAAAGGCCCUGCUUUUGUGGGGUGCUCGAGUGGCGAACGGGUGAGUAACACGUGAGUAACCUGCCCUUGACUUUGGGAUAACUUCAGGAAACUGGGGCUAAUACCGGAUAGGAGCUCCUGCUGCAUGGUGGGGGUUGGAAAGUUUCGGCGGUUGGGGAUGGACUCGCGGCUUAUCAGCUUGUUGGUGGGGUAGUGGCUUACCAAGGCUUUGACGGGUAGCCGGCCUGAGAGGGUGACCGGCCACAUUGGGACUGAGAUACGGCCCAGACUCCUACGGGAGGCAGCAGUGGGGAAUAUUGCACAAUGGGCGGAAGCCUGAUGCAGCAACGCCGCGUGCGGGAUGACGGCCUUCGGGUUGUAAACCGCUUUCGCCUGUGACGAAGCGUGAGUGACGGUAAUGGGUAAAGAAGCACCGGCUAACUACGUGCCAGCAGCCGCGGUGAUACGUAGGGUGCGAGCGUUGUCCGGAUUUAUUGGGCGUAAAGGGCUCGUAGGUGGUUGAUCGCGUCGGAAGUGUAAUCUUGGGGCUUAACCCUGAGCGUGCUUUCGAUACGGGUUGACUUGAGGAAGGUAGGGGAGAAUGGAAUUCCUGGUGGAGCGGUGGAAUGCGCAGAUAUCAGGAGGAACACCAGUGGCGAAGGCGGUUCUCUGGGCCUUUCCUGACGCUGAGGAGCAAAAGCGUGGGGAGCGAACAGGCUUAGAUACCCUGGUAGUCCACGCUGUAAACGGUGGGUACUAGGUGUGGGGUCCAUUCCACGGGUUCCGUGCCGUAGCUAACGCUUUAAGUACCCCGCCUGGGGAGUACGGCCGCAAGGCUAAAACUCAAAGGAAUUGACGGGGCCCCGCACAAGCGGCGGAGCAUGCGGAUUAAUUCGAUGCAACGCGUAGAACCUUACCUGGGUUUGACAUGGAUCGGGAGUGCUCAGAGAUGGGUGUGCCUCUUUUGGGGUCGGUUCACAGGUGGUGCAUGGCUGUCGUCAGCUCGUGUCGUGAGAUGUUGGGUUUAGUCCCGCAACGAGCGCAACCCUUGUUCACUGUUGCCAGCACGUUAUGGUGGGGACUCAGUGGAGACCGCCGGGGUCAACUCGGAGGAAGGUGGGGAUGACGUCAAGUCAUCAUGCCCCUUAUGUCCAGGGCUUCACGCAUGCUACAAUGGCUGGUACAGAGAGUGGCGAGCCUGUGAGGGUGAGCGAAUCUCGGAAAGCCGGUCUCAGUUCGGAUUGGGGUCUGCAACUCGACCUCAUGAAGUCGGAGUCGCUAGUAAUCGCAGAUCAGCAACGCUGCGGUGAAUACGUUCCCGGGGCU